rnacentral:rRNA from 1 species
UGCNAGUCGAACGCUUCUUUUUCCACCGGAGCUUGCUCCACCGGAAAAAGAGGAGUGGCGAACGGGUGAGUAACACGUGGGUAACCUGCCCAUCAGAAGGGGAUAACACUUGGAAACAGGUGCUAAUACCGUAUAACAAUCGAAACCGCAUGGUUUUGAUUUGAAAGGCGCUUUCGGGUGUCGCUGAUGGAUGGACCCGCGGUGCAUUAGCUAGUUGGUGAGGUAACGGCUCACCAAGGCGACGAUGCAUAGCCGACCUGAGAGGGUGAUCGGCCACAUUGGGACUGAGACACGGCCCAAACUCCUACGGGAGGCAGCAGUAGGGAAUCUUCGGCAAUGGACGAAAGUCUGACCGAGCAACGCCGCGUGAGUGAAGAAGGUUUUCGGAUCGUAAAACUCUGUUGUUAGAGAAGAACAAGGAUGAGAGUAACUGUUCAUCCCUUGACGGUAUCUAACCAGAAAGCCACGGCUAACUACGUGC